rnacentral:rRNA from 1 species
UACGUAGGGUGCGAGCGUUAAUCGGAAUUACUGGGCGUAAAGCGUGCGCAGGCGGCUCUUUAAGUCAGAUGUGAAAGCCCCGGGCUUAACCUGGGAAUUGCGUUUGAAACUGGAGGGCUGGAGUGUGGCAGAGGGAGGUGGAAUUCCACGUGUAGCAGUGAAAUGCGUAGAGAUGUGGAGGAACACCAAUGGCGAAGGCAGCCUCCUGGGCCAACACUGACGCUCAUGCACGAAAGCGUGGGGAGCAAACAGG